GGAGACGGGCAAACAAUGGCUCACAAUAAUACUAACAUUAACGGCCGGGGGGGAAAAGAGAUGGAUACCCUGCCUGCCUGCCUCUACGUUGUCGUUGUGCAGGCUUCCUAACCUUAAACCAGCUGUGUUCUCUCCUGCGUGGCCUGUUCAUCGCAACAGCACACAGCAUGAUUAACCUUUUCUUGGGCCUCCUUGCUCUGAACAAAUAGAUUCUCUCUUCGUUCAGAAAGAAAGCAUCUCUGUUGUGUUGUGUUUGUGUUCUCUCUCUCUCUCUCUCGUUUCGUUUGAUCCGUCGCUUCGUCGCAAAGCAAACGGCGAUAUGCAGCACCGGGCGAGCAGCUUGCAUCACGAUGGAGCACCAGGGCCAAUGGCGCCGCCGUCGGCGGCGUACGACGAGCCCGCGCCGCCGGAGCAUCCUCAGCCCAAAUGUGGAUUCAUCGCAGGAUUCUUCAUGGCGCUUUGCUGUUGCUGCCUGGUUGACGAAAUGCUGAUGUGACACGGUUUGCAUGGUAUCAGCGAUUGUACAGCUGUAGAUUUUAUAUUGUGCUUUAGAAUUAGGUUGUAUAUAAAAAUCGAAUGACGGGAAAAUUGAUACAUCAUGCAGUGCAAAAAUUCCUUGAAAGUUUGAGUUCUCGGGUCUGUUUAAGUUUGUAGCCAAAUUCAAUCUAGCUAAAGUAAAUUUGACAGUGCAAAAAUAUUAGUCAUUUAUUUGGUUUGUAGCCAAAGAAAAUUGACACUGCUCAACUAAUUGCUUACUUUGGUAGCAAACUAAGCGAAAGGCUAACUAUUUUUUGCCAAAAAAAAAAGCAAUGACCAACUCUUACCGUUGCCAAAAAAAAAAUGGCAAGGUUAAGAAUAGGAAUGAACCAAAAAAAAUUCCUCGCAGUACAAUUUCCACGAAUGCUUAGAACAUCUUCAGUAAAACCCCUAAAUACAGUCC